GUCUGAUAAAUAUAAUUUUAAAAAUAUUUUUUCUACUUUUUGGAUGGCCAUGAGAUAUCCAUGAAUCUUAAGGUAUUCUUUUUGAAAAGAAAGUUUUUUGAUGAAGGAAUUGAUGUCAUUAAGAGCAAACUUGGUGAAGCUUGAUAGAUAGAAGAACCAACUCUGACACAAACCAACAGAAUCGAAGUUGAUUAGAUCAAAUCUGAAACCUGAUGUAAAGUCAUCCUUGAAUAGAUAUAGUAGAGUAUCAUAUCAGCCAAACAGAUACUUCAUUUUCUAGAUUUGAGAUAG
rnacentral:lncRNA from 1 species